GGGAGACAACUUGGUAACAGAAGUGACAUCAGAUAGGAGAUCUUAAGUCUUCAACUGAUCCUACUUGGGAAGAAAAAUGAAGAGAUUGAUUCAUGAUUUAUUCCUGCUCCUGUGGCUGCAGCUGCACUUGCUGAGCCAAGGAGAGAAGGUGGAGCAGAGUCCUUCUGUCCUGAGUGUGCAGGAGGGAGACAGUUGUGUCAUCAACUGUACUUACACAGACAGUGCCUCAGUCUACUUCCCUUGGUACAAGCAAGAACCAGGACAGGGUCCCCAGCUUAUUAUAGACAUCCGUUCAAAUCGGGACAGAAUUGAAAAUGGAAAACUCCAGGUCUUAUUGAAGAAGAAUGACAAACACCUUUCUCUGCACAUCAAAGAUACCCAGCCUGAGGACUCAGCUGUCUACUACUGUGCAGCAAAGUUAUAUAAAGAGUUAUAUGUGUCAUUUAUCAUCUACAUUACUCAUCGCAUAGUAGUGGAUUAUUACUUUAUCCUCAAUUUUUGA